GACGAACGCUUGCGGCGUGCUUAACACAUGCAAGUCGGGCGAUGAUCCGGUGCUUGCACCGGGGAUUAGUGGCGAACGGGUGAGUAACACGUGAGUAACCUGCCCUGGACUCUGGGAUAACCCCGAGAAAUCGGAGCUAAUACCGGAUAGGACCUCGAAUCGCAUGGUUUGGGGUGGAAAGUUUUUCGGUCUGGGAUGGACUCGCGGCCUAUCAGCUUGUUGGUGAGGUAAUGGCUCACCAAGGCGUCGACGGGUAGCCGGCCUGAGAGGGUGACCGGCCACACUGGGACUGAGACACGGCCCAGACUCCUACGGGAGGCAGCAGUGGGGAAUAUUGCACAAUGGGCGCAAGCCUGAUGCAGCAACGCCGCGUGAGGGAUGACGGCCUUCGGGUUGUAAACCUCUUUUAGUAGGGAAGAAGGGCUUCGGCUUGACGGUACCUGCAGAAAAAGGACCGGCUAACUACGUGC
rnacentral:rRNA from 1 species